GUGGAGGUGGCUCCCUAUUCCGUCACAGCUGGUCGCCAAGUCACUGGUAACCUGGAGCAGUCCUGACUGUCACCCGAAGCUGCAGUUCCCUUUCUGGAGAAUGGGAAUGACAGGAGCGGCCCCAUGGGAUCUCGUGCAGCCAAGAUGACCCACGUCCUGGGCUUGGCCCCGGAAGCGCCGGGCCUUUGCAUGCGCUCUGCAGUCUGCUGGGAGUUCCUCCCGUCCAUCUCUGCACGGCUGCCUCCUCCUCGUCUUUCUCGUCUCAGACGUCAUCUCGGCCCAGCCGCUUCGUUGUUCCAGCAUCAGGGAGGCACAGUGCUGUCCGUGCCAGCGUGUUCUUUCGGGGUUCUGCCCUUGCGGUUCACGGCGCACUCUCGGAGCACAGCACACCGUUGGGCACGAGGAAGAUGCCCAGAAAACUGUCCUCGCCAGCUCCGGGGCCAGAUACUAACUGGCUGUGUGACCCCCACCCCCCGGAGUUGCUUUCACCUCUCGCUCCCACAAUCUCCUUGUGGACAAGGAAUGGACUGGA